ACACAACUUUGAUGAUGAUGAUGGUUGUCUUGUCAUUUUCACAUGAUGUUUGUGUUGCAAUUCAUUAUGCAUUAGUUUUCUGUCUGUAGAAAAUAAAUUUAUCAGCGCAGGUUGCAUCCCAGUCGUCUCCAUCAUGAAGAUUCUGAGUUUGUCUUGGUUUGGAUUCACCGUGUUGACCGUCAUGUCCUCAACCUCCAACGCCUUGCCGGAGUCGACACUCAGCUAAACUCCUCUCCAAAGGAAUCACACAGACUGGAGCGCUUGCGUUGAGUCUUUAAUGAAGCUAGUUGGACCAUUCCAGUCACAGACGAUGAUGCUGGUCCAACAGGAGAUCAUGGCUCUGGAUGCCACCAAAUGUGACGCUGAGCUCCCGUCUGUCUGUGCAAUCCUCCUCUACUAGAUGAACUUGCAUGGUGUCCAUACAAGUUAGCAUGGACACCAGCCUCUCAUUUCCUACAUUUCCUAAAAUGUUUCUGCUCUGUUGCUUUAAUAUAACAAAAACUGACCAAAGGCACAGACACCUGCUGCUUGUAAUGCAGGAGAAAGCAACCUGUCCCUUCUGACAACUUUCCAAAUAAAAUCUUUAGCAAUGAUAAAAAAAAGUGUGUGUGUGUGUGUGUGUAUAU